CUCAUAUUUUAAAGAGAUCUUUAAGGUUUUUUUUUACAACCGUUUUCAUAAAACCAUAGUUGUAAAGAUGUGCUCAGUUAACUUUUGUGAGGUGGAAUUUUUUUAAACAAUACAUGAAGAUAACUAUAUUGUAGGUAUGUUAGUAAAUGUAAACUAAUUUAUAAUUAGGAGAUCUUUAUCUCCAUCUUCUUACUUUGUUUGUCCAUCUCUUUUGGGAACACACCAACGUGUUUUCAGUAGAAAUAGAAUCUCUCCAGAGUUCUGGAUCUGCUACUUCUACACUUCAACCACCAACAGCGUCUCUGACAUGUAUUCAUCAAUAGUUUGAGCUUAACCCACCAGAAUGCAGGACGUCAUCAGACCAGAGUCUAACCGCCAAACUCUAUAGAUUAUUUUAUGCACAUUGAAUAAUAAAAAAAAAUCUUUCAUUAUUUGUGUUCCAAAGAUCUCUGCUCAUUGAAAUCUGAUCAUCAUUUAUGAAAAAAUAAAAAUCAUAAGAGUCUUGUUCUUAGCAGUCCUUUUAGAGUACAUGUGAAACCCUUGUACAAAGGUAACUUAAGAUCCACAGUAUCAGUCACUUUGGGGUGGGGUUUGUAACAAGUGGUAGCAGGUAGAAAGACUGCAGAGACGCCUUUGACUCAAACCCUGGUCUUAACUUUAUUUGUCAUACUUUUGGGGGGUUAACAAAAUUCUGGUUACUAGUCAGAUAUUAGUUAGUCUGUAAUACAUCUCAACUCAUAGUUCCUUUGAGAUUUCUACAUAAAAGCCUUCAUCCUCUUCAUCAUCCGCAGCAGCACUAAUCACUGAAGAGUCUUUGAUGUGUUUUACCUUAUUUAACUUGAAAGCAGCCGUGUCUCGCUUGAGAGUUGUUAAAGGUUAUCAGAUGUCGGAACUAUUUCCUCUCCUUGCUCAAGAAUGUGAGCAUGCCUCUUUGUUAGUGUUAGGGCUGAAGGGAGGGAUCUUUUCUAAAUGACUUUGUGCAGCCUUUCCUGCAACAUUGUUGUGGUAAUGAGUAUGUCCUGUACUUUCUUUUUUCUUCUGACAAAACUUUUUUUUUUAUGGUCAGUAUCACUAGAUAGCAGCUAUCAUCCAACCCUGACUGAAGACGAGUAUGUGCUGUAGUCCAAACUGCUGAAGAGAUCAAGGAUAAAAAAGUCCGCCAGGCCGUGCCCGGCCCGCUGCAUUCUUGGGAGACUUGACGACUGGAACCAGGAAAGACAAAAACCAAAGACUGAUUAUCCUGCUGGCAGCAGCAGAACAGCUUCAAACACAAAAUCCUGAAAUUCUGAAACAUUUACAGUGACAAUCACUUUCCAGGAAGUGCUCAAAAUAUCAGAAGACAAUGACGAACUCUGUGGUGACCUGCUGCUGACUCGAUGAGUAACGAGUGAACUUGUUCUUCUGGGGUUCAAGCAGUUGACUGAGCUCACAUCCUCUUAUCACCAAACACUGUAAUGUAACAGAGACUGACGGGGCAGAAACAGAGCCCCACCUGCUGGCCACAGAUGGGAGUGGAUGGAGUAGAGCUGGAUCCGAAUGGGGGAAGUGAGGAUGUUAUGGGUCCUUCUGACCUGGAGACGGGUCAAAAAGCCUUAAAAUCUGUUGGAGGCGGGGCUUAGGGAGAGUUCUGAAAGGGGCUUGAAUGAUGGCGAUUGGUUCAGAGUGUAAAGAGGCCUCUAUCACUGUGGCAAGAAGUAAAAACUGGGGCAGAAAGAGCGAAAAAGUACUUCUUUAUUAAAAAAAAAUAAAAAUUAAACGAUUUUAGAAUAAAGAUGAUUUUUUCUUCUGCCUGUUUCGUGUUGCUGCAUCAUUUUCGCUCUCAACUGCUUUGUUACAGAAGAAGGAGGUUACAGAACACCAUGAGGGGUUUUGGAUUAGUUUUAUUACAGUAAGUGGAAGGUCAAGCAAACAAUAUGCCUCUUUACAGCUUUUAUUUCUUUAUUUCCUUUAAUUUUCUUGAAACAACAAAUACAAAAGUCCUUGAAGAAGUUCAAAUACAAAGAAAAUUAUAGAAAACAGAAAGUAGAAAGCUUGUUUAUCUGCCUCUUUUGCAUAUUUUGUAUAAUUAAAUUUUAGGGUAAAAAAAAGAGAAAAAUAUAUAAAUAAAUAUAAAAUUAGAAAAAACUAUUAUUAUAUACAUUUCUGCACUAUAGUAAAUAGAUAUGUUUGUGGUUUACAUCUAAAUAUUUUGUUGAACCUGGAAUUAGGUCCAUUUAUUGUAUUUUUGUAGCAACUUCAAAAGAAAAUCAAAGAGCGGCUGGAUGUGGCGCUACUAGGCUUCAAAAUGUGCCCCCAGUUCAACUGUUCGGUCUGUUCCUCAAAAAAAAAAAAAGAUUUCUGAUCACAGAAUCGGAUGUUCUUCUUUUACAGUUAGAGAUUAUUAAAUCAGAAAAUCUGAUGAACACACUUGUAUUUUCCCCCAGUAAUCUGAUUAUUUCCAGCAAUUUGCUUUGUUUGUUUCAAGUCCCUGAAACUGUAAAACAAAACAAAAAAAGAGGAAAUGAGAUGACUGUAAAUUUAGCAGAGCUGUGUUGUAAGACAAUAAAAAUAGUUCAACAAAUCGUUCUGUGUUAGUCCAUAUCUUGUAAUAUAUUCACGAGUAAGUGACUUUGAAAAUUCAGAAGGUUGAGAACAAAGACAAUCCUCAGAUCCAGGGAGGUUCAUCAGAAUGUGGCGUUGGUCCAAACCCCCUCUGUCCCCAUCUUUCUCUCACCCCAAAAGAAGAAUUGCUGCUUUGUGCGGCCCAGGAUGAGAGGGCAACUCGUAAUUACAGAGGAACCCACAACCACAAAAGCUCAUUCAAAAGGAAGACAUGAAAAUAUGGGGUUCCUCAGGCCGGGUUUGGUGCUUGGAAAACGUUGUGCUGCUGAUGCUUUAAAGCUGUUCAGGAUCAGACCUGGAAAAUACAGAUGAGUGGGAAUGUCAGUAGUGGAUGUGUGUAUCUGGUAAUGGUGGACAGGAAGUCGUGAUACUACCAUUCACUUUAUUAUUUAUUUUACUUUUAGACGGUGUCAGAGUGCAGACAUUGGGCGUUUAUCACCAAGAACUUUUCCUCAGUUUGUUCUUUAGAUUUAUGACAUUUUCUAACUGCAGCUUUGUUUAGAAUUUAUAGAUCCCAAGUUAUUUUGUGGCUUUUGUUCAUGUGAAGAAUUGAAAUAACUUUAUUGGUCUCACAUUGACGGCAUUUGUUUGCUGGAACAGAAGCAGCAGCUGGAAUGUUCUAUCAAAAGUGCCAAAUAUUGAACAUAUUAAUACAAAUUUAAACUGCGAGCAGAGAUGUUUGGUCUGCAGACGCCAUUCGCCCUCAAUGGCUGAGCGGUCUCUUCAGGCCCCUCACUCUACACUUCUGAAAAAAAAAAACACUUAUUUUAAAUUAGCAGCUUUUCUGUUGGUUUUAUCUCCAUAGCAACUAUUUUAUUUUUUGUUCACUUAAAGAUGAUGAACAGAUCUAGGUGAUUUUUAGAUGAAUCUGGAAAAGUACAUUUUUUGGUUUCCUUAACAACCAAAGUUUUUUGUGAACCACGCCCACAUUCCUAAUAUGUUCACACCAUGUGUGGUAUUGUUUCGUUCAGCUUUAGCCAGGGAUUCAUGUAUAACAUUUUCACAGUAUUCUGGUUAAUAAAAUUUGAGCAACAGGGAAACGCCACUUUUGUGAGCUCGCCACGCUAAACUAACACUCUUCAAAAUCUUCAAGUUCCAAUUCCAUAAAGUAGCUUCCUAAUGAUGCUGGCGGAGAAAAGACCAACAUUUUUUGAAAGAGUUAAAUUUGUUGCUGAUAAUUUUUUUUUUUGUUUGCUUGAUUCUUAAUUCACUUCCCGAGGUGAAAGGUCAUCAAAACUUCCGUAGUGGUUUUUGGCUUAAACUUGUGGUUUGAGUGAAAUUUUCUGAAGUUUGCUCAAACACAAAACAAUUUCAAAACUUCCUCUGGAUUGAAAUAUAUAAACAUACAUUAUGAGCCAUGAGAGAUUCUGGUCCCAAGUUAUUGAUUCCUGCUUUGGUGUCACUUUUUUGGGUGGGGGAGGGGUUUUAUUAAAACGUCAAAAAAAUCCUUUUUAGUGGAACCUAGGUGUGUCAAAUUUCAGUAAGUUUGAGAAAGUGAAGAAGGGGACAGUGGUUCCACUGGUUCCACUGGCUCAACAAUUCAGUCCAGGACUGGUGCGGGACGUCAUAACCACUAUUGAGAUGUCACGUUUGGAUCCAGAGUGGUUCUUUUAGGGAUGCACAUCAUGGAAGCAGAAAGGAAAGAGCUGUAGAGUCUCUCCUUCACACUGUGAUGGUGCAUCAGUCUGUGACUGAAUCGGAUCUCUAGUGUCCUGCGUGUUGGACUUGUGGUCCAGAGGCGGAUCUCCCUGACAGACUUCUAUACCAGCCCAGGACAGAACUGGACUUCUUCUGCUUUUUCUCUCCGUCAGACAUGAAAUAAAAAUAAACUUUUCCUGUUUUAGGUCAAUUACAUUUAAUAACAUUAUUUUUAUUUGCUAUAUGCCAGAAAAAUGAGAACACUUUUUAUUACUUUUAUCAAAGUCAAAAGUUGACAUACAUUUCAUUAGUAUUUGGUACUAUUGCCUUUAAGCUGCAGUACUUGGGCCAAACGUCUUGGAUAAACCCAAAACAGGAAAAGUUUAUUUUUAUUUCAUGUCUGACGGUGAGCGAAAAAAAGCAUAUGUAAACUUCUGGUUUCAACUGUGAUUCCAUCAGAUUACAGUACAGUAUUCCACUGAUGGCUGAUUUUCCUCCAAUAUCAUAACUCGCUGUAAACAGUAGAAUGUAAAGUUGCAACAUAAUCCAGCUAUCUUGUGUGAACUCGGUCUACAUUGGAGAAAUCCCUGAUGAUUCACAGAGCUGCUAACACAAACACUCCCACAGGAAACCUUAGUUACCACUCAAACAAAAAAAAAAAAA